CUGUGACCUCCGAGGUCACAGUAUAUGCCUCCACUCCUGGAGGCCUUAAGGAAGCAGGAAACCUCCAAAGAAAAGCCAUGGAGGCUGAAGCCUCCUCCCUUCUAGGCAGCGCAGAGACUGGAAAUCCAAGUUCAGGGUGCCGCUACAUUCGGGCCUCAGCUGAGGGCAAGGAAACUGCACAGAAAACUAGCUGAGUCUCUGCUCUGACAGAUAAGCCAACCACAAUCGUUCACUGAACGCAUUCUCCCACGGUCCUUGAGGGUGAGCACUGCUAUUACAGUAGUCAGUCCCCUUGCUGCAGUCUGGAUCAUGUAUGUCACACAAAAGCAAUGAAAUAAGUGGAUUUGAUCCAGUCGAUGCGUGCAUUAUUAUAUGAUGCUUUGCCGCAGGCCCAGAUAACAGAGCUAACCAAUCAUGAACUGAAAACUCCUCUGAAACUCUUAGUAAGUUAAUUAACUCAUGCACUUUACCAUAAUGGUGGGAAUCUGGCGGGCAGGUCCCUAUCAAAAGGAGAGAUAUUCUAAGAUCUCCCACAAAUGCUUGAAACUGUAAUUAGUACCAACCACUUUGGAUACCACAUUUUUUUCCUGUGCAUGUGUACCUCAAUAAAAUUUAACAUCUAGAUAUAAAAAAA